rnacentral:rRNA from 1 species
AUACAUGCAAGUAGAACGCUGAAGAGAGGAGCUUGCUCUUCUUGGAUGAGUUGCGAACGGGUGAGUAACGCGUAGGUAACCUGCCUGGUAGCGGGGGAUAACUAUUGGAAACGAUAGCUAAUACCGCAUAAAAUGGAUUAUCGCAUGAUAAUGCAUUGAAAGGUGCAAAUGCAUCACUACCAGAUGGACCUGCGUUGUAUUAGCUAGUUGGUGGGGUAACGGCUCACCAAGGCGACGAUACAUAGCCGACCUGAGAGGGUGAUCGGCCACACUGGGACUGAGACACGGCCCAGACUCCUACGGGAGGCAGCAGUAGGGAAUCUUCGGCAAUGGACGGAAGUCUGACCGAGCAACGCCGCGUGAGUGAAGAAGGUUUUCGGAUCGUAAAGCUCUGUUGUAAGAGAAGAACGAGUGUGAGAGUGGAAAGUUCACACUGUGACGGUAUCUUACCAGAAAGGGACGGCUAACUACGUGCCAGCAGCCGCGGUAAUACGUAGGUCCCGAGCGUUGUCCGGAUUUAUUGGGCGUAAAGCGAGCGCAGGCGGUUAGAUAAGUCUGAAGUUAAAGGCUGUGGCUUAACCAUAGUACGCUUUGGAAACUGUUUAACUUGAGUGCAAGAGGGGAGAGUGGAAUUCCAUGUGUAGCGGUGAAAUGCGUAGAUAUAUGGAGGAACACCGGUGGCGAAAGCGGCUCUCUGGCUUG